rnacentral:sRNA from 1 species
AUGUACCCACGUACACUCCACCUCCGCGCGUCCGCACCCACCUGCGACUGCUCGCUACGUUCUGUUAGCC